GACGAACGCUGGCGGCGUGCUUAACACAUGCAAGUCGAACGGAAAGGCCCUGCUUUUGUGGGGUGCUCGAGUGGCGAACGGGUGAGUAACACGUGAGUAACCUGCCCUUGACUUUGGGAUAACUUCAGGAAACUGGGGCUAAUACCGGAUAGGAGCUCCUGCUGCAUGGUGGGGGUUGGAAAGUUUCGGCGGUUGGGGAUGGACUCGCGGCUUAUCAGCUUGUUGGUGGGGUAGUGGCUUACCAAGGCUUUGACGGGUAGCCGGCCUGAGAGGGUGACCGGCUACAUUGGGACUGAGAUACGGCCCAGACUCCUACGGGAGGCAGCAGUGGGGAAUAUUGCACAAUGGGCGGAAGCCUGAUGCAGCAACGCCGCGUGCGGGAUGACGGCUUUCGGGUUGUAAACCGCUUUCGCCUGUGACGAAGCGUGAGUGACGGUAAUGGGUAAAGAAGCACCGGCUAACUACGUGCCAGCAGCCGCGGUGAUACGUAGGGUGCGAGCGUUGUCCGGAUUUAUUGGGCGUAAAGGGCUCGUAGGUGGUUGAUCGCGUCGGAAGUGUAAUCUUGGGGCUUAACCCUGAGCGUGCUUUCGAUACGGGUUGACUUGAGGAAGGUAGGGGAGAAUGGAAUUCCUGGUGGAGCGGUGGAAUGCGCAGAUAUCAGGAGGAACACCAGUGGCGAAGGCGGUUCUCUGGGCCUUUCCUGACGCUGAGGAGCGAAAGCGUGGGGAGCGAACAGGCUUAGAUACCCUGGUAGUCCACGCUGUAAACGGUGGGUACUAGGUGUGGGGUCCAUUCCACGGGUUCCGUGCCGUAGCUAACGCUUUAAGUACCCCGCCUGGGGAGUACGGCCGCAAGGCUAAAACUCAAAGGAAUUGACGGGGCCCCGCACAAGCGGCGGAGCAUGCGGAUUAAUUCGAUGCAACGCGUAGAACCUUACCUGGGUUUGACAUGGAUCGGGAGUGCUCAGAGAUGGGUGUGCCUCUUUUGGGGUCGGUUCACAGGUGGUGCAUGGCUGUCGUCAGCUCGUGUCGUGAGAUGUUGGGUUAAGUCCCGCAACGAGCGCAACCCUUGUUCACUGUUGCCAGCACGUUAUGGUGGGGACUCAGUGGAGACCGCCGGGGUCAACUCGGAGGAAGGUGGGGAUGACGUCAAGUCAUCAUGCCCCUUAUGUCCAGGGCUUCACGCAUGCUACAAUGGCUGGUACAGAGAGUGGCGAGCCUGUGAGGGUGAGCGAAUCUCGGAAAGCCGGUCUCAGUUCGGAUUGGGGUCUGCAACUCGACCUCAUGAAGUCGGAGUCGCUAGUAAUCGCAGAUCAGCAACGCUGCGGUGAAUACGUUCCCGGGGCU
rnacentral:rRNA from 1 species